rnacentral:lncRNA from 1 species
AUGCCAGUGCUCGUAGGCAGGAUGAGCAAAGCAAAGAUCGAUCUUUCACUGGACAGCAGCAUCUUCCAGGGUGACUGCCGCUCCAUCUGCAUUGUCCUCAUCGUCACCAUCUCCACCAUCACCGUCUUCUCCACCAUCACCACCAUCUCCAUCAUCUCCACCGUCUCCACAAAAACCACCAUCUCCAUCAUCACCACCAUCUCCACCAUAACCAUCUCCACCAUCACCACCAAAACCACCAUCUCCACCAUCUCCACCAUCACCGGCUUGUCCUCUGGCAGGAGUUCCCUCCCCUUUCUCCAACCGCACCGGGAAGCCAGCUCGUUCCAAGGGUCCUAUGAGAAGCCUCUCUUCUCUGUGAGGCCGAGUGGUCUUUCCCAACCACCCCAACUCAAACAGGUGUUUUUCUCCAUCCUGUGUGGCACCUGCUGUCCAAACACGCGUUUGAUCUCCGCCACAUUCUGCCCUUUCUUUCCGAUUAUCUGUUGCUGCUGCACUCUCCCCAGGCCCCCAGCGGCUCUCCCAGGCCCAGCUCACCAGCCCCCCUGCCCUGGGCUUCCCCUCUGGGUUUUUGUGAAUCACAGUCCACGCUCAUUCACCGGAGUAAACCCCCAGCAAGGUCAGCAAGUGUAUCUGACUUAGCUCCGCAUUUCCGUGGGCACCCCACUCAGCAUGGUGUGAUGAAUGCCAAGUUAGCCCGGGAAUGUCUGAGGGACUGUUCAGUGCAUCCGAGGUUAUAGGUUAGCUGCAUGCAAUGCCUUGACCCCCGUUAGUAGGAAGCACUGUGACCAAAACAGGCGCUGAAGGAGCAGGAAGCACUCAGCGGCGAUGUCUGUGUUGGCGGCACCAGGACUAGCACUCUGUUCGACGGGCACAGAGUCGUUGGGGAGAGGCAGGGCUUGGUCCACAUCUUGUCUGGCCGGGAGGACCCUCCGGAGCUGCCCCUGUGCACAGGGUGGAUCGGGCCUGGCCGUGUCUGGAGUCGGUGCCCUGGCUGGCGUCCAGCCGCCUCCAUGGCCAGGUGUUUUCACGAGCUCCCUGCAGGACCUCAGCUUCCGCCAGGUCUCACACCCCGGGGCCCUCGGCGGGGAGCCCAGCCUGGGUGUGUUUCCGUCUUCCCGCUUGCCCAGGUGUGUGUUCAGCCAUGGAGACGAGUGUCCAGGAACCCCUGGUGCCGGAACCGUUCUCGGGAGUGGGGAACCCUCUUUCCCACCUGACUCGCUGUGAAGACGGUCUGGGCCCUGGGCCUGGUCCCCCCGGCAGCUUGUGUGACGCUCUCAGAGCCGGGGGCUCAUCCCCCCAUGCUCACAGGCCUUCCACCGGACGUCUCAGGGACAGAAGGAAAUCAAAACGAGCCCCAGAUGCAGGGCUGUGUGCCUAGACAGGUCAUCCUAACGGUCCCGUCACGUGUCUUUUCUCCCGAAUAAAGCUGUUCUUUUGAUCGCA